CCUACGGGUGGCAGCAGUGGGGGAUAUUGCACAAUGGGGGGAACCCUGAUGCAGCGACGCCGCGUGGGUGAAGAAGCGCCUCGGCGCGUAAAGCCCUGUCAGCAGGGAAGAAAAUGACGGUACCUGAAGAAGAAGCCCCGGCUAACUACGUGCCAGCAGCCGCGGUAAUACGUAGGGGGCAAGCGUUAUCCGGAUUUACUGGGUGUAAAGGGGGCGCAGACGGCGAUGCAAGCCAGGAGUGAAAGCCCGGGGCCCAACCCCGGGACUGCUCAUGGAACUGCGUGGCUAGAGUGCAGGAGGGGCAGGCGGAAUUCCUGGUGUAGCGGUGAAAGGCGUAGAUAGCAGGAGGAACACCGGUGGCGAAGGCGGCCUGCUGGACUGCAACUGACGUUGAGGCCCGAAGGCGUGGGGAGCAAACAGGAUUAGAUACCCGUGUAGUC
rnacentral:rRNA from 1 species